rnacentral:rRNA from 1 species
UACGUAGGCAGCGAGCGUUGUUCGGAGUUACUGGGCGUAAAGCGUGCGCAGGCGGUUCGUUAAGUCAGAUGUGAAAGCCCCGAGCUCAACUUGGGAACUGCAUUUGAAACUGGCGGGCUGGAGUGUGGCAGAGGGGGGGUGGAAUUCCACGUGUAGCAGUGAAAUGCGUAGAGAUGUGGAGGAACACCGAUGGCGAAGGCAGCCCCCUGGGCCAACACUGACGCUCAGGCACGAAAGCGUGGGGAGCAAACAGG